AGUUAUGUUUCAGUGAUAUAUUGGGGGGGACAAAUCAUAUUUUUCCCAGGAUGGGGGGGUCGUGUCCCCCCCGGGAUUUCCGCCCCUGUCUGUAACAGGUAUGCAGCACUGAUCAUAUCAUCCAUGGACAAGGACUGCCGACACCUCUUGGACACUUUUUUUAUACAAUUCUGAAUUGUUCAAAGGUGGACUCCAAUCAAGUUGUAGAAGCAUUUCAAGGAUGAUCAAUGGAAACAGGAUGCACCUGAGCUUUCGAGUCUCAUAGCAAGAUAUGUAAAUAAGCUUUGGGUUUCUAGGGAAGCCUCUGAGCCAGUUCAGCUGCACCACCCUCAUGUACAAGGGAGCCAACAACGAAGACAAGGAGGAAGAUGAUGAUGACAAUGAAGACCCUGGCAUCCAUGUUAGAAGCAGUAAGAACACCUUCAACGCAACAGCCUCAGCCGUGCCAAUACUGUCGCCUCACGGGCCACCACAGAGGGAGUGUGUGACGGAGAAGUCCGACACUGGCCGCGGGCAGCGUUUGGUACACUAACACACACACAUCGCGCCUCCCUGCUCCGUUAUCAGCUACGCUAACAAUGUGGGUCGACACACAAGUUAACUUCUUAGUACAUAUAUUUCACACUUUAUUCUUAGUACAUAUAUUUCACACUUUAUUCUUACCUCCCGUCUAACAGUUCAUGGUAUAAAUAAUAUACAGACAAGCGUUCAUGUUUAAUUUAAGCAACAUUUAUUGUACUUAUCAAUGUUAUGGAUGAGCGCGUUGUUUGUUUGGUUCUGUUCUUCUCUCUCCAUCUCUGUAGCUUCCGGGUAUGCUGGGAUAAGGACCAGAGCUAUGGUAAUCGGGCUGGCUUUGUAGUGCCUGUCCCGAAUGGCUCGUUCAUGUGAAUGAGCAUAUUGGAAGAUUUUGUGAAUGUGUUAUAUUGGUAUAUUGUAUCAUGAGAAACGUGUUUCAAUGUAUGUAAUUCAUUAUGUUGAGCUGAGUGGAAAAUGUAGGCUUUGAUGAAGGUAAUUGCUUAAUUAAUUAGUGCUGGGUAUGUUCUGAUGGGAGGGGCUUCCCCUACAAAAGGAGCCUCUCUUUCAGUUCAAGGGAGGGGAGGGGGACCAUUUUGGAUUGAGCUGUUGAUGGGGGCAGCAACAUUUUUUUUUUUUUUUUUUUUAUAUAUAUAAAGCUGACCCAUAAUGGAUACUUUGGAUGGCAGUGCUGUUGUUUUUCUUCUGUAUUCACUAUGUAAAUAAACACCCUUGCACAGAAGUACUUUUGCGGCUCCGCCAUCUUUUUAUUUGAUAGA